AUUGAACGCUGGCGGCAUGCUUUACACAUGCAAGUCGAACGGUAACAGGGAGCUUGCUCCGCUGACGAGUGGCGAACGGGUGAGUAAUGCGUCGGAACGUGCCGAGUAGUGGGGGAUAACGCAUCGAAAGGUGUGCUAAUACCGCAUACGAACUGAGGUUGAAAGUGGGGGACCUUCGGGCCUCACGCUAUUCGAGCGGCCGACGUCUGAUUAGCUAGUUGGUGAGGUAAAGGCUCACCAAGGCGACGAUCAGUAGCGGGUCUGAGAGGAUGACCCGCCACACUGGGACUGAGACACGGCCCAGACUCCUACGGGAGGCAGCAGUGGGGAAUUUUGGACAAUGGGCGCAAGCCUGAUCCAGCCAUGCCGCGUGUCUGAAGAAGGCCUUCGGGUUGUAAAGGACUUUUGUCCGGGAGCAAAUGCUGGUGGCUAACAUCCACCGGAGCUGAGAGUACCGGAAGAAUAAGCACCGGCUAACUACGUGCCAGCAGCCGCGGUAAUAC
rnacentral:rRNA from 1 species